rnacentral:rRNA from 1 species
UACGGGGGGGGCAAGCGUUGUUCGGAAUUACUGGGCGUAAAGCGUCCGCAGGUGGCAAUGUAAGUCUGCUGUUAAAGAGUCUAGCUCAACUAGAUAAAAGCAGUGGAAACUACAUAGCUAGAGUACGUUCGGGGCAGAGGGAAUUCCUGGUGUAGCGGUGAAAUGCGUAGAGAUCAGGAAGAACACCAGUGGCGAAGGCGCUCUGCUAGGCCGUAACUGACACUGAGGGACGAAAGCUAGGGGAGCGAAUGGG